rnacentral:rRNA from 1 species
UGAGGGAAAGUUGCAAAGUACUUUGAAGAGAGAGUAAACAGUGCGUGAAACCGCUCAGAGGUAAACGGGUGGAGUUGAACUGCAAGCUUUGAGAAUUCAGCUGAUGAGUGUGGUUUGAGCUUGGUCAAAUUGGUGAACUCCGGGGUCUGCGUAGUAGCAGGUCUUUGCCUUCGGGUGAGGAUGCGCGAUACACUUGUCAAGUGUUGUGCGCUUCGGUUGUUCUUCGGCCUGCUCGUCAGUGCACUUUCUCUUAGUGGUCACCACGACCGGCACCGCUGUCUGGCUUCUUCGGUUAAACCGGUUUUGCUUAGUCAUAAGGCUUUGCUUGAUCGGGAGGGCAGGUAGCUCGUUGACUUGCUUGUGGUUCGCUGCAAGCGUUCGGUUUUCGAGUGUUAUUAGCUGACCGGAGUAGUACUGUGCAGUGUGUCGGAGACGGCGGCUUGUAGUGCGUGCAUGCGUGCCUGUUCUGCUGACUUGUCCGAGUUUGGUUAUUAUGUUGCCUGUUCAAGCAGGCCUGGUGAUGGCUCGGAUUCGUUCGGUGGGCGGUUGCGUGUGUUGCACCUUUCAGGGCCAACAGUCUGUGGUGUAGUGGUAGACUUUCCACCCGACCCGUCUUGAAACACGGACCAAGGAGAGUAACAUGUACGCGAGUCAUUGGGCGUUACGAAACCCACAGGCGCAGUGAAAGUAAAGGUCUGACUUGUUCAGGCUGAGGUGAGAUCCUGUCGUUUCUCACGCGCGGUACUACCAAGCAUCGAGCGGCAGGCGCAUCACCGGCCCGUCCCAUGGCAGUUGUCUUCGGACAGUUUUCGGUCGGGGCGGAGCAUGAGCGUACAUGUUGAGACCCGAAAGAUGGUGAACUAUGCUUGCGCAGGUUGAAGCCAGAGGAAACUCUGGUGGAGGACCGCAGCGAUUCUGACGUGCAAAUCGAUCGUCAAACGUGAGUAUAGGGGCG